CCCUUAGAUGUUCUGGGCCGCACGCGCGCUACACUGAUGCAUUCAACGAGUUACCUUGGCCGAGAGGCCUGGGCAAUCUUUUGAACGUGCAUCGUGAUAGGGAUAGAUUAUUGCAAUUAUUAAUCUUGAACGAGGAAUUCCUAGUAAACGCAAAUCAUCAAUUUGCAUUGAUUACGUCCCUGCCCUUUGUACACACCGCCCGUCGCACCUACCGAUUGAAUGGUCCGGUGAAGCCUCGGGAUUGUGGCCAGUUCACUUUAUUGGGAGUUGGCUGUGAGAACUUGUCUAAACCUUAUCAUUUAGAGGAAGGUGAAGUCGUAACA
rnacentral:rRNA from 1 species